GCCUCCGUAGCUCAGUGGAUAGAGCAUUGGUUUCCGGUACCAAAGGUCGCACGUUCGAAUCGUGUCGGGGGCAC
rnacentral:tRNA from 1 species